rnacentral:rRNA from 2 species
CUUGACGAUCAUAGAGCGUUGGAACCACCUGAUCCCUUCCCGAACUCAGAAGUGAAACGACGCAUCGCCGAUGGUAGUGUGGGGUC